ACAAGCGGAGGAGCAUGUGGUUUAAUUCGAUGAUACGCGAGGAACCUUACCUGGGCUCGAACGUAAGAUGACUGUAGGUGAAAAGCUUACAUCUCUUCGGAGCAUUUUACGAGGUGCUGCAUGGUUGUCGUCAGCUCGUGCCGUGAGGUGUCGGGUUAAGUCCCAUAACGAGCGCAACCCCUACCUUUAGUUGCCAUCAGGUUAAGCUGGGGACUCUAAAGGAACUGCCUACGCAAGUAGUGAGGAAGGCGGGGAUGACGUCAAAUCAGCACGGCCCUUACGUCCAGGGCUACACACGUGCUACAAUGGCCGGUACAGAGGGCAGCUACCUGGUGACAGGAUGCAAAUCUCCAAAGUCGGUCUCAGUUCGGAUCGGAGUCUGCAACCCGACUCCGUGAAGUUGGAUUCGCUAGUAAUCGCGCAUCAGCCAUGGCGCGGUGAAUACGUUCCCGGGCCUU
rnacentral:rRNA from 1 species